CAAAUUAUAGCUUAUACAAAGUAUUUUAUUUACAUUAAAAAGAAAUUUUUUUUAUUAAUUUGA
rnacentral:tRNA from 1 species